UACGGGGGGGGCAAGCGUUGUUCGGAAUUACUGGGCGUAAAGGGCUCGUAGGUGGCCAACUAAGUCGGACGUGAAAUCCCUCGGCUUAACCGGGGAACUGCGUCUGAUACUGGAUGGCUUGAGUUCGGGAGAGGGAUGCGGAAUUCCAGGUGUAGCGGUGAAAUGCGUAGAUAUCUGGAGGAACACCGGUGGCGAAGGCGGUCUGCUGGGCAGUGGGAGCUUCGGCUCUCUUUAGCCGGACACUGAGGCGCGACAGCGUGGGGAGCAAACGGG
rnacentral:rRNA from 1 species